UGGGGGAUAUUGCACAAUGGGCGAAAGCCUGAUGCAGCGACGCCGCGUGGGGGAUGAAGGCCUUCGGGUUGUAAACUUCUUUUGCUCUGAACAAGGCGCACCAUGGGGUGUGUUGAGUGUAGGGGUUGAUUAGCGCCGGCUAACUACGUGCCAGCAGCCGCGGUAAUACGUAGGGCGCGAGCGUUGUCCGGAAUUAUUGGGUGUAAAGGGCUUGUAGGUGGCUGGUUGCGUCUGUCGUGAAAGCUCAUGGCUUAACUGUGGGUUUGCGGUGGGUACGGGCUGGCUUGAGUGCAGUAGGGGAGGCUGGAAUUCCUGGUGUAGCGGUGGAAUGCGCAGAUAUCAGGAGGAAUACCGGUGGCGAAGGCGGGUCUCUGGGCUGUUACUGACACUGAGGAGCGAAAGCAUGGGGAGCGAACAGG
rnacentral:rRNA from 1 species